CAGCCGCCGCGGGAAUACGUAGGGUGCGAGCGUUAAUCGGAAUUACUGGGCGUAAAGGGAGCGUAGGCGGACAUUUAAGUCAGGGGUGAAAUCCCAGAGCUCAACUCUGGAACUGCCUUUGAUACUGGGUGUCUUGAGUAUGGUAGAGGUGAGUGGAAUUCCGAGUGUAGAGGUGAAAUUCGUAGAUAUUCGGAGGAACACCAGUGGCGAAGGCGGCUCACUGGACCAUUACUGACGCUGAGGUGCGAAAGCGUGGGGAGCAAACAGGAUUAGAUACCCCUGUAGUCCCUGUCUCUUAUAC
rnacentral:rRNA from 1 species